rnacentral:rRNA from 1 species
UUUAGUGGCGAACGGGUGCGUAAUACGUGAGAAUCUGCCUUUAGGAGGAGUAUAACUGUUGGAAACGACUGCUAACACUCCAUAUGUCGAGAGAUGAAAUAAUUUAUUGCCUAAAGAUGAGCUCGCGCCUGAUUAGCUAGUUGGUGGGGUAAUGGCUCACCAAGGCCACGAUCAGUAGCUGGUUUGAGAGAACGAUCAGCCACACUGGGACUGAGACACGGCCCAGACUCCUCCGGGAGGCAGCAGUGAGGAAUUUUCCGCAAUGGGCGAAAGCCUGACGGAGCAAUACCGCGUGAGGGAUGAAGGAUUUUGGUCUGUAAACCUCUUUUCUCAAGAAAGAAGUUCUGACGGUACUUGAGGAAUAAGCAUCGGCUAACUCCGUGCCAGCAGCCGCGGUAAUACGGGGGAUGCAAGCGUUAUCCGGAAUCAUUGGGCGUAAAGCGCCUGUAGGUUGUUUAAUAAGUCUGUUGUUAA